AGAUAAUUCGGAGGCAUUAAAGAUCGGCCUUGGUGUAACUGGUGGUGUAAUUGGAGGGGCAUUGAUUGUACUUGUGUUGGUUUGGUACGUUAAGAAGAGACCACAAGCUUACUCUCUUCAUCCUGAUGAAAAACCUUCCAAUUUUGAAGAGUAAAAGAUAAUGUCCAUCGUCAUGCAAAAUAUUUAUAACGGCCACCAUUCUGUUAAUAACUCAUGAAAGUUCAUUUUGUAGUUUUUUCAUAACUUUUUUGUUUUUUUAGAAUUUUUUUUUUUUUGUAGUUUUUUUUACUAGGAUCAGUAGAAGCACUCACAGCACUUAACUAACCACUGUGUUUGUAGUUUUGUAAUAAUUGAUACAUUGUCAUCUGUUAUGACAUCACUAGUAUGACAUCAUAAUCACUGAGGAUGCCACUGGAUGAUUGGAUGACUAAAUGAUGUAAUAACGAUGUCCAUUUUUGUUUUUAGUUUUAUAAAUAAAAAAUCUUCGGUAUAA